AAGUCGAACAGAAUACUUUUCAACAUUGAAUUUAAGAUUUCAACAAGUUUGCUCUUGAUCAGAUCAAAUGGCUCUUCCGUUGAGUGCGGAACGACAGACGUUGAUUAUCAACGACGAGCCGAAAUGACCCCAUGAUUCGAAUGUGCAGGCUUGGCUUUUCCCACGUUAACUACGCAUGAACACGCACGAUCGCCCCUCGCGAUUUUGACGUUGAAGAGAACCCCUUUCUGAAGUGUGACGUCAGUCCGUGAAUUUGACCACGUUGUGGGAAUAUGUCAACAUUAACUAUUUGAAACAAAUUGGUUGGCGAUAUUCUGAUUUUUGAGAAAGCAAGUCACUAGAAAAGAAAAAGCCCUGACUGGCAUCGAAAAGGCCUAUUGUCAGUGUGUCUUAGGUGGAGGUCGCCCACAACACGCUUUGAAUUGCAUUGCGUUCCAACAAGCGUUCCAACGGAACAAGCGGUCUUUUCUAGCAAAAGCACUAACAAGUGAUACGAAUAGAGGCUGAAUGGAUAUCACAGGAGAAAGCAUCCGAGCGAGCGAAACAGCGC